UACGUAGGGGGCUAGCGUUGUCCGGAAUCAUUGGGCGUAAAGAGCGUGUAGGCGGCCCGGUAAGUCCGCUGUAAAAGUCAAAGGCUCAACCUUUGAAUGUCAGUGGAUACUGCCGGGCUAGAGUCCGGAAGAGGCGAGUGGAACUCCUGGUGUAGCGGUGGAAUGCGCAGAUAUCAGGAAGAACACCGGUGGCGAAGGCGGAUCUCUGGGCCUUACCUGACGCUGAGGCGCGAAAGCUAGGGGAGCGAACAGG
rnacentral:rRNA from 1 species